GUACUUGCUUCAGCAGCACAUAUACUAAAAUCGGAACAAUGGAAGAAGAUUGGCAUGGCCCUUGCACAAUGAUGACACUCAAGUGUUUACACAUAAAAUAUUUUA
rnacentral:snRNA from 1 species